GUUGCUAAGUUGCCCAGGCUGGGAUUACAUUUACAAUCCUCCUGCCUCAGCUUCCCAGGGUGCUGGGAUUGCAGGCUCCAGGGCGCCAAGAGUCAUCUUGCAAUAGUGGUGUAUGAUGGCGUCUGUAUGGAGGACUGUGGUGAGGAGUACAAGUCAUGACAGCCCACCCGCUUUCGCAGAGGUGCUCACAACCACACGAGACUGUCCCUGGGCUGGGGAGGAGAUUCUUUUCAAGACUUUAAACCAUCGAGAAACCUUAAGCCUGGCAUUAAAAUCAUGUUGCGAACUGAGUCUCAGGAGCCGAGUAACGUGUCCAACUUUAACAGUGAACAAGCACUCGAGGCAAGGCUUCAUCCAGAUCUGUCUAACUGUGCAGCCCGCAGUCAGCCUCGCCGGCAGAAAUCUUAGAGAUAACUUCCGACUUUGCUGCCCUUGCUGACUCUUCUUUUACAUAGGAAGAAGUGCGUUCCAAAGACCCUUGAGAGUGAAGGCGAUUCUUUAGGGCUGAGUGUGCUAGGGAGAUGACCUGAAAGCUGGCUCAACAAGCCAAAUCUCAUGGGCCCCAGAUUCUGUAAGGAAAAGGCCCAGAGCUCUAGCACCUAGCACACUGGAUGGGUAAAUAGAAAGCUGGGCAUCUGGUUCAGGCUUGGAUGCCAUUGAUGUCCAUGUUUUGGUCUUUAAUUGAUGGACUAAUCAAUCAGACUAUUCACUUAAGAAUAAGUCAGUUUAUUCACAGAAAUUAUUUCUCUUGCCGAACAUUGGAGAAAUAGAACAGAGAAAUAAUCUCGCCCAUCACCAUCACAAGGCUUGGCCCUGAGAAUCUGGACAUCAGACUUAAUGUCUUUCUGAAGACUCUUUAAAGAGUGACGACACAUUCCAGCAGUGAUCCCCCCAAAACGGCCCAUUUUCAUGGAUCUCCUGGAUGAAGCAACAUAAAUUACAACUGAAUCCGUAGUUCAGCCUUUAAUCUCCUUUCAAUCAUUUGUUCCACCUCCUACCCUGGAAUGUCAGGAAGCCCAAUGGUCAGGGAGUGAUGGGUCUCAUGUCUCCUCAUCCCCAGCCCCACCCGCAGCCCUAGCCGCUCUCCACAAACUGCCUGACUGCAUGUGGGAGGGGCGGGGGAGAGGAGCGAAACAGGGGCUCUGUAUAAUUCUUCCUGAAAACGUCGGACCCUGGAUGCAUUUUUGGGUGCAGGUGCAGAGGAAAUGGUCUUUAAAGGAUGACAAACUACUAGACACAUGGUUAACAUGAAGCCAGCCAACCUCUCAUGCUCAGAUCUCCAUCCCAGUUCCAUCCGGGGCUGGAGUUGAAUCCUUUACAGGAGAAAGGAAAGCACCCUCCUCCCUUCACUGCAAGGGUUGCCGUGUGUCUGCUUGCUCUUGCUGUCCGUCCUGCUGUUUCUGGCUCAGGACCGUGUGCUCCAGGCCGCGCAGGGUCUCUAACCCACGCCGUGACAGUCCUCACACCAGCUCCGGACGCGGACACAGCCCGUGUGAAACCGCACUCUGCUGACUCCCAGGUGCAAGCCAAAUUCCUUCACCUCCCUGAGCCUGCAUUUCCUCACUUGCCAAAUGGGACUAUUAAUACCAACCUCUUCAGGUUGUUACGAGGAUUAAAUGAAAUAAAAUAUAUAA